rnacentral:rRNA from 1 species
GUCUAUGGCCAUGUCACCCUGAACAAGCCCUAUCCAGUCUGAUCUCGGAAGCUAAGCAGGGUUGGGCCUGGUUAGUACUUGGAUGAGAGACCACCUAGGAAGUCCAGGUGCUGUAAGAA